rnacentral:rRNA from 1 species
UGGGGAAUAUUGGACAAUGGGCGAAAGCCUGAUCCAGCUACGCCGCGUGUAUGAUGAAGGCCCUAGGGUUGUAAAGUACUGUUGUAGGGGAAGAAACAAAUGACGGUACCCUAUGUAGAAAGCGCCGGCUAACUCCGUGCCAGCAGCCGCGGUAAUACGGAGGGCGCAAGCGUUGCUCGGAAUCACUGGGCGUAAAGGGUGCGCAGGCGGUUCAUUAAGUCAGAUGUGAAAGCCCGGGGCUCAACCCCGGAACUGCAUCUGAAACUGGUGAACUUGAGUAUGAGAGAGGAAAGUGGAAUUCCUGGUGUAGAGGUGAAAUUCGUUGAUAUCAGGAGGAACAUCAGUGGCGAAGGCGACUUUCUGGCUCAUAACUGACGCUCAUGCACGAAAGUGUGGGUAGCAAACAGG